rnacentral:misc_RNA from 1 species
GAUGAAGAACGGAGCGAAAUGCGAUAAGUAAUGUGAAUUGCAGAAUUCAGUGAAUCAUCGAAUCUUUGAACGCACAUUGCGCCCGCCAGUAUUCUGGCGGGCAUGCCUGUUCGAGCGUCAUUUCAACCAUCAAGCCCCGGGCUUGUGUUGGGGACCUGCGGCUGCCGCAGGCCCUGAAAUGCAGUGGCGGGCUCGCUGUCACUCCGAGCGUAGUAGUUACAUCUCGCUCUGGGCGUGCUGCGGGUUCCGGCCGUUAAAAGCCUUAUUUACCCAAGGUUGACCUCGGAUCAGGUAGGAAGACCCGCUGAACUUAAGCAUAUCAAUAAGCGGAGGA